UCCCUGGUGGUCCAGUGGUUAGGACAAUGCACUUGCACUGCCAAGGUCCAGGCUCAAUCCCUGGUCAGGGAA